UUACUACUGUUAAGAUAUCAGGAUAUUGUGCUGUGAAUAUUUUUGUGGUUUUUUUUUUUUGCUUUUGUUGCUGCUGAUAAUUUGUAAAAUUUUCAUUUUUACUGUACAUUUCCUUUACUUUUUGUUAAAUUUUCAUUUACACUUCAUGUCCUUUUUGUAUAUAAAGUAUUCGUUUAUAGAUUAAACAGAAUAGACAUAUACUGUGUAUUAAGAAAGGUUAAAACGGAAUCAUUGGGGGUCUGGAAUGGAUUAAUUCGCUUUACAUUAUUUCUAAUGGGGAAAAAUGAUUCGGUUUUCGAACAACCUUCCGGAACGAAUUAAGUUUGAGAAACGAGGUUACACUGUACCUAGAUUUGAUGUGGAGACAUUUUUAAUACAAAUGUCUAUUUUUUCCUUAGUUUGGAUAUAGAUUGACUAAUAUUUUAUAAAAUAUUCAUAGACACGUGAAUAUUGAUACACACUGUACACACACCUGUUUCAUCUUAUCAAGCAAUAUUACAAACACCACCAAAGGAUUUUUUUUUUUUU